AUGGAGAGGAAACUGGGAGCUGUGCUGGGGAUUCUGUGGGUGCAGAUUUGCUGGGUGCGAGGUGUUGAGGUGCAGCAGAGUCCUUCAGCUCUGAAACUCUACGAGGGAACCAGUUCUGCUCUGUCAUGCAAUUUUUCUACCACCAUCAUGAGUUUGCAAUGGUUCCAGCAGAAUCCCAGGGGCAGCUUCAUCAAUCUUUUUUACCAGGCUCCAGGAACAAAGACAAAGGGGAGGUUAAAGUCUACAUUUGACUCCAAGGAGCAGUACAGCACUCUGCACAUCAGGGAUGCCCAGCUGGAGGACUCAGGCACCUACUUCUGUGCUGCAGAAGCACAGUACUUCCAUCAAGCCUGCAGCCUGGCCCCAAAUUGCAGCUGUUCAUUCAGCUAA